rnacentral:lncRNA from 1 species
GCACUUCCGGCGCGGCGGUUAGACCCGGAACGGGCGCCUCUGGGGCCCUGCGCGGGCGGCUCGCGACGGCCGCCUGGGCGGGGUUCGGUGGCCGUUCCGCGCCUGCGCACGCCGAGCCGCGCGGUGCCCGGGCCGCUCUCCCGCCCUGGACGCCGCCUGCCGUUGUGCACUUGGCCCGGGCGCUUGAGGCGCGAGUGCGGCUGUGACGCCGUCCUGCGGGACCCGCACGCCGCCUUUGCUGGCGGAAGGAUGUCGGCCACGCCCCCGCCAACGCCGUGAGCCGCCUCGCCGAGUCAUCGCAGUAAGCCGCUCGCCCUCGUCAGACUUCGGACGCGGAGGGUCGGGGCCGGGCGCGUCCGCCGUGCGGGCCUCCAGCCAGCGGCCGCCGGCACGUGGGUAGGAAUGGGACGCGCGCGGAGUUCUCUCAGGCUCACAGGGCUGGACGAGCCUCAGCUGGAGAAGCACCUGCUCUCGACUCUCGUGUGCUCUUCAGGGCAACGCUUCAGCUGAGGUGGCCGCCCCGUGGUCCGUGUGGAGCGGGGUCCUCGUCUCACCAGACCUCGGCUUGGAGUCCUGCUGCGGUGGGCUUGGCUUGCGAGAGCCAGCGGGAGGCUGCUGAUGGAGCUGCACCUCUGGGAAGGGGCCGCCCCGCCCACUCCCUUCUGCCUAGUUUCAGGCCCUUUCUCUGCUGACCUCCUUCCCUCAGCCUGGAGCAAACGAAAUCUUAUUUUUAAAAAUUAUUUUUUUAAACCUACAUGGGUCCUAUUAGCUUUUAAAGUGUGCAUCUAAUCUGUUUGUUUCCUCUGUGUGAAAACAUUUCCCUCAGGGGCCUAAAGGACACAGGGUGGUCCCCUCAGCCUGGUGCGCAGGGACCCUCGGGGCUUGGUUGUGGCCCUUCACUUCCUGGCAUUCCAUCCCUGUGCUUCCGUGUUCCAGCCACACGCACACCCUCCCACCUCCGGAGUGACUCAGCCCUCAGCUUCAGUCGCCGUGCUUGUGGGCUUCCCGUCUGUCAAGGCCAGUGGAGCAUGCGGGCUCCCCUGACUGCCCGACAGCAGACAGACCCCUCGCCAGUCAGGGACGAGCUGGCUCACACACACGCCUGUGACAUCCCUUUGUACCAGUCCUCAAGGUGACUCCUGGAGCUUUGUAGGAACUCAGCCGCUCCCCCAUCCUCCAAAAGCUGGACUCUGACCUCCAUCCUUGCAG